GACGAACGCUGGCGGCGUGCUUAACACAUGCAAGUCGAACGGAAAGGCCCUGCUUGCAGGGUACUCGAGUGGCGAACGGGUGAGUAACACGUGGGUGAUCUGCCCUGCACUUCGGGAUAAGCCUGGGAAACUGGGUCUAAUCCCGGAUAGGAGCCCUGUUUAGUGUGAUGGUUGGAAAGUUUUUUCGGUGUAGGAUGAGCUCGCGGCCUAUCAGCGUGUUGGUGGGGUAAGGGCCUACCAAGGCGGCGACGGGUGGCCGGCCUGAGAGGGUGGAGGGCCAAAUUGGGGCUGAGAUACGGCCCAGACUCCGACGGGGGGCAGCAGGGGGGAAUAUUGCACAAUGGGCGCAAGCCUGAUGCAGCGACGCCGCGUGGGGGAUGACGGCCUUCGGGUUGUGAACUCCUUGCGCUAGGGGCGAAGCUUUUUGUGACGGUACCUAGAUAAGAAGCACCGGCUAACUACGUG
rnacentral:rRNA from 1 species